CCUACGGGUGGCAGCAGUGAGGAAUAUUGGUCAAUGGACGAGAGUCUGAACCAGCCAAGUAGCGUGAAGGAUGACUGCCCUAUGGGUUGUAAACUUCUUUUAUAUGGGAAUAAAAUGUUCCACGUGUGGGAUUUUGUAUGUACCAUAUGAAUAAGGAUCGGCUAACUCCGUGCCAGCAGCCGCGGUAAUACGGAGGAUCCGAGCGUUAUCCGGAUUUAUUGGGUUUAAAGGGAGCGUAGGUGGAUUGUUAAGUCAGUUGGGAAAGUUUGCGGCUCAACCGAAAAAUUGCAGUUGAAACUGGCAGUCUUGAGUAGAGUAGAGGUGGGCGGAAUUCGUGGUGUAGCGGUGAAAUGCUUAGAUAUCACGAAGAACUCCGAUUGCGAAGGCAGCUCACUGGACUGCAACUGACACUGAGGCUCGAAAGUGUGGGUAUCAAACAGGAUUAGAUACCCGGGUAGUC
rnacentral:rRNA from 1 species